UGAACACCAGAUCCUGAGGUGGCUCCAGAAGGUGCAGAGUGCAUGAGACACACUAAGAAAGCUGAAGCCUGAAAGCAGCCUGGCCACCCUGUGCCCAAGAGGUGUCUUCAGGAAGACCACGCCCAGAAAGUCCCCCGUGGAAAUCACCGCAUGAAGAGAAUCACUCUCUUUUCUGAAAGAUCUUGAGUAGAUCCAGUGUCAAAUAACAGCAAUGAGAAGUCGUAGGAUUAAAAUAUGCUGGAGCUGGAGAAGCCUGGAUCACAAGCAUUUAUUAACAGUGAUGGGAAGGAAAGGUGAGUGGGGGAGUAGACCUCACCAUAUCCCUGCCCACUACCCUUCAGCCAAAGGGGCAGUUUUCAUGGGUGGG